AUUCAGGGAGUACAUGUACCAAGUCGAUGUGCUGGGGUACGAGGUAAUAACAUGGCUAUAUUCAGGGAGUACAUGUACCAAGUCGAUGUGCUGGGGUACGAGGUAAUAACAUGGCUAUAUUCAGGGAGUACAUGUACCAAGUUGAUGUGCUGGGGUAGGAGGUAAUAACAUGGCUAUAUACAGGGAGUACAUGUACCAAGUUGAUGUGCUGGGGUAGGAGGUAAUAACAUGGCUAUAUACAGGGAGUACAUGUACCAAGUUGAUGUGCUGGGGUAGGAGGUAAUAACAUGGCUAUAUUCAGGGAGUACAUGUACCAAGUUGAUGUGCUG
ensembl:lncRNA